CAGGGCAAGGGCGGUUGCGGACUUUGAGCUACACUUAUCCUCUCUUCAGGCCAGUCCAGAGAGAAGGUGGCGAGCUGAGGCGGCCAGUUACGUGGCGGGCCUGCGGGUCUCAGCUGGCACGUCACUUCCGACUGUUUGAGUUUUAGCCUUUUAACAUUCCAGGAUUAGGAUGUUGCAGGUGACAGAUGGCAGGAAUGGAGGGUAGCAAGGUCUCUGCACUGCAUAUGCUCAUACGUAGGCUGCACAGUCACUGAACAAGAAUUCCUCUGUUCACUGCAGCCAGGAUGAGAAUCCCUGCUGGUGAUUCCUCUUCCUCCUCCUGUCUGAAGGUGGUGGCUGUGGAGGUCGAGAUCUGGAGAAGAAUCAAUCCCCUCAGAUGGAGAAGGAACGCAGGGUCACUUGUCAUGGGGUUCCAUCAGAAAUCUGCUCUUAGAUUUCUGUACGUCCAAGGCUGCCUUGGAUGGCGCACCUUGAGACAGUUGACUCCAGGUCCCUCGCAUCUUGUCUCCUGGUGAUCCCAAAUACUCACUGCAUGACUUCACCCUAUUCUAUAUGUCACCAGCAAGUCACUAUGUCCACCUUCUGUUCCCAAAGUGGGUAUUACACAAGGGCAUGAAUACUGGAGGAUGGGAACACUGGAGCCAUCUUGGAGUCUGCCUACAACAGGGGUGACUUUGGGAACCACCUGAAUGCGUGGCCUUUCACAAGCCUGUGGCUAGAAAUGCA